AGCCAUUCAGUAUCGUAGCCAAUGAGGUUUAUCCGAGGCGCGAUUAUUGCUAAUUGAAAAAAGAACAGCCAUUGAUGCUCAAUGGCUAGAUCUGUUACUUCAUUGGAGAUUACAUGAUUAGUGAUAUUCUAAUUAUAAU
rnacentral:snRNA from 1 species